rnacentral:lncRNA from 1 species
AACUUCGUUACUUCUGUUCUUGAAUGAAACAAGAUCUUCUAAGGCAUUUCUUGGGAAAGUUGUGUUUGCUUAAAAUGAAAGCAAAAGAAAAAUUUAUCUUUUAAAAACGCCCUAACGCUAACGAGAUACGUUUUAUUAUAAAAGGCAUAUACAUCGUUGCAAACUAUAACUAUAAAAGUAUAUAUGCACCUCUAUUAUUCAGAGAAAAUAAUAAUAAUAAUAACAAUAAUAGUAAUAAUGAUAAUAAUAAUUAUAACUAUCAUUAUUAUGAUAACAAUAAUACAAUGAAGUACAUAUAACAAAUUGAGUAUGCAAACAGAUGUAUAUGACAAUUCUAAAUGAGAUUUAUUGAAGAGUUAAAUAUUCGCGAAAUAUCAUCAAGUGAAAACUUUAUUAAUGUGUAUACACCUCUAGUUUCUCCUUUGCUUCCUAGAGAUAUUAUCAAUUACAUUAGAGUGUACAAAUUUCUAGUAAAAGAUAUAAAUUUGAAUAAACAAUGUUGUAAAAAUUAAAGAUACCUUGUAGAUUAAAAUGCAUAGGAUCCAUUUCUUUUCACGUUAUAACUUGAAAUAAGGACUCAUAUUCUCAUCGUUGUUUUUCAAAUGUCUUAUGUAGAAAUAGUGUGAUGGAAAGUCCGCGCAGUCCAGUCUAUUCGAAUUCACCGCCUUUCAUUUGAUUGGUUUCUCUGGAUUUUUUUGUUUAUUUCGCUUCACCGAUUAUUCCGUUGUCUUAAAAUGCUUUACAAUAUCUAGUGUGUACUUUUUACAGAGAAACGGUUAACAAAAUGGCCGACCCUUAUGAAUAUCACGACAGUGGUGAUGAUGACAUGGAAUUAAGUCAAUCUAUGAAAAGCUAUAUAAAAUCCAAGAAGACGAUAGGAUUUGAAACAUGGGGGGUUGCAGAAGUCGGUGGCAAAUUGUGUGUAAUGUUAGACAAUACAGACAUCAAUAUUAAGGGCAGAG